GGAGAGUUAGAAGCAAGCCACGUGGGUGACUUCUUUUCAAAGUUCUCUGCCUCAGAGGAGGAAGCCCCAUGGGUGGAGGCCAGGCCCGAGGCCAUCCUGCUCUGGGCCAGAGCGUGCCUGUGUCUGAUGAGCGAGGACAUGCCUCGUCUGGCUGAGCCUUCCAUUUCACACCGGCAGCUCGAACCCCCCAUCACGGCUUCCUUUUGGGCUCCCCUCCUCAGGGGACCGAGCUUGAAAUGUGCUUGCCCUUCAUCCCUAAGGCCUGCGUCCCUUCCUCAGAGAGGACUAAGCCCCUCUCCCAGUCUUGAUGUUCUCCGAGGCCCUUCUUAUUCACAGAACCUAUCUGGCUUAUUUAUUCGCUUGCUUGCUUCUGAUGUCUUCUCUUACUGAAAGGAAUCGAAGGGCCAAGGAAUGUGUUUUUCGUUGAUGUCAACUUGCUGCAAAGGACCACACCUGCUUCUCGACCCAGGAACGUGGGAAAGGGAAAGGCUUGGCUUGUUUUGGUGGAGAUGGAGAUGCUGGUAACAGUGGAGGAAUGCCCUCCUUCUGAUUCACAGUGGGGAGGUGCUCUGGGCCCCUGCCACUGCCCGAGGACUUCAGCUUUUGGUUGUCCUGCUGAGAGGAUGCGGCAUUUGAGCAGUAGCUUCUGGAGCCCAGAGUGAAGCCCCACCCAGGCACCCUGACAGGACCACAGGAAUGCUCCUGGCACAGCAAGCAGGACUCUUGAGAAGCUCAGCCUCCACGCUCCUUGUAGAUGUUCAGUUCAAACUCCACAGUUUGUGUGACUCACUGAAGGGCUUGGUUUGGCUCUCGCUGACGAGUCUGUCAUCGGUGCCAGGAGCUGAGAACAGCCCCCUUCCUAUUUGAGGCUGGCCUGUCCAUGCGCACCCUUGGCCUCACAUCAAUGGAGGAUCACCCAUCCCUUCCUCGUGCUAGAAACCCAAUGGCUGUAUUCCAUAAGCCUGCAGGACUCUUGCUCUUCUCCUUAUUUAACUACACCAGCUUAGGAGUAGCCUACAUGCUCCAUCUUCAUUUCCUUACCCCAUCUACUCCACAGUCUACCAUUCUCUUGCUGAGGUUACUUACCUGGCCUCUUUCCUCUACACUCUUUUCCACACUCACUUGUCCAGGUGCACAUUAAUACCUACACCUGACUAUCCUACAGAUAACUCGAAUUCAAGAUGGUGGGGGAAUAAACUCACCAUCUUACUCUAUA
rnacentral:lncRNA from 10 species